UGUGCGAUGCUGCUGUCGGCGAGGAGCGGUGCCGAGGUGGAGCGGGUGCGGGCCGACCUGUGUCGGUUGCUGCCCUCCCUGCGCCAGUCGCUUUCCUGCGCCGUGUGUGGUGGAAAUUUAUAUAAAGGGAAUGAAACCUGGACCACCUGGAAGCAACCAACACAUCAGAAAUGACAUCAGGUCAAACAUGGGCAAGGACACCACCUGCUGACUUCCAAGUAAUGCCCACCUACAGCUGAUGAAUCAGUUCUCACUCAUGUUGAACAUCACAUGGAAGAAUUUUUGAGGGUGGUAAAGGCACAGAAGGUGUGGUGUCAGAGGAUUGGAGGAUGGCUUGUGGCAAUGUGACACUGUUCAAAAAGGGAGGAAGGGAUUUCGCAAAUAAUUACAGGCCAAUUAGCUAAGCCUCAGUGGUGGACAAACGAUUGGAAACAUUGAGUAGCAUUACAGAUCAUCAUUUAGGUCCAAAUUCCACCGGCUCUAGGAAAACGAUACUUCAAGAAGUAAAAAUUGCUUUGAAGCCAAAUCUAAAUGAAGAGAAGUGAUUAAAUGGAGCCACAUGUCGGAAAAUUAUUGGAGGUGUUGUGGUCCCAGAUAAUGGCAAUAUUGGACAAGUCAAAGCCAGAAUGAAAUGGUGGAGCAGAAGAGUGGGUGAGGUGAAGACGCUAUUGCAGACAGCCAGCAUCAUGAAGAAGAGUAGGUAAAAUUAGGAUCUAUGGCUCACAGUCAGAAACAGUUAGAUUCAUUGGAGCUGAUUAGAAGAGAUUUUUGCUCUAUUGCAGAGAGAGAAACUGUUUGGUGAGUUUCUGAUGUCAUAGAUCCAUGGAAGAAUCAUAUGAAGUUGCACAAGAAAUAGCAUGCCUGAUGACUUUGAGCAGGAAAUAAGUACCAAGAGAUUGAUUAGGAGCGAAAACAACAAUAAGACAAUAAACUUUCAACAUUAAUGUGGACUGAGACCUUCUCUAUGCAAAAUGUAAAAGAAAAACAGUAUGUGAGAGUUUUGCUAAAUUGUCCUUGCCAAGCGUGUAUUUAUGGGAUAAAAACUGAAAGAACUGCAGAUGCUGUAAAUCAGGAACAAAAACAAAGUUGCUGGAAAAGCUCAGCAGGUCUGGCAGCAUCUGUGAAGGAAAAAACAGAGUUAAAGUUUCGGGUCUGGUGACUCUUCCUCAGAACUGUGUGAGUGUAUUUAUGGGAUGCUGCUUUUCUUGGAACAGUUGAUGGUUGGUGGUUAAAUUAUACAUUAUCUUGUCAAGUAUUUCAGCAGGUUAGAUAAGCCAGUUCUUUUUUUCAUUUGUAUUUUAAUUAUGCUGUAAGAAUAAAGUGUGUUUUGCUCAAAGCUUAGUGCUGGAUUCUUGCUCUUUAAAUAAAUAUAAAAAUUAGGUCUAGGCUAUAUCCUUACUUUAUUUUGAGGAAGUUGGGGGAUGGGUGUUGGUCUGGGACAUAACAGUCUUCACAAAAGAAGAUACAAAUAACUUCCCAGAGAUGCUAUAGAAACAAGGGCUUUUAGGAAGGAAGAAUUAAAAGGAAUUAAUAUUUAUAAAAAGAAUAGUGCCUGAGAAAUUAAUGGGGCUGAAAGCAAUAAAUCCCCAGUGCUUGAUAAUCUACAUCCCAUCUAAAUUUCAUCUGUCCUUCACAUUCAAUCCAAAUACUGUAUCUUCAAAUAUAUUAUCCAAAUCUUCAAAUAUAUUAUAAAUCCUCAUCACAGACGGCAUUAAAAAAUCUGUUAGUAACCUUCAUCAAGAUUGAAGAGCCAGGGGAUGGCAAACUUGCAGUAUUGGCUGAAACAGUGUGUUUGCUCCUUUUGCUUUUUUUUUUAACUUCUACCCAAAUGGCUUCAUUUGACAACGUUUCGAAGAUAAGAUCCUCCCUCACUGUUAUAAUUAAUUUCUUGAUCAAUAUUAUGACAAUGCUUCCUCUUCUCUUCCCUUCUCUAUCUUGUCUGAAUAUUCUAUAACCAGAAAUAUUGAGCUGUCAAUCUUGUCUCUAUGUCAGCCAAGUCUCAGUCAUAGCAAUGAUAUCAUACUCCUAUGUGCCUAUCUGUGCCCUCAACUGAUCUGUAUUAACAGGCUCCUUGCAUUAAAAUGUAUUCCAUUUAGCAUUACUAAAAACUCACUUAUCACCUACUCUAUCUUACUCCUGCCGUUCAGACUAACAUACUCAUGUUUUAAUUUCUAAUUCCAUCGCAACCUCUCCUCCCUCUGAACUUGUUGUCAGGGUCUCAUUGCCAUGCAAAUCUAGUUUAAAUCUGCACAACAAUAUGAGUUAACCCUACCAUAAGGAUGUUGACCUGUUCCUGUUUGGAUAUACAUUUUGUACAGUUUUUGCCUCCCCCAGAAACAGUCCCAAUGCCUCAGGAAUCUAAUGUCCUCCCUCCUGCACUAUCUCUCCAGCCACACAAUCACCUGUCCUUUCCUAUUCCUAUUCUAGCUACUGUGUGGCACUGGGAGUAAUCUGGGGACUAUUGCCUUUGAAGUCCUGUUUUUCAAUUUCCUACCUAACUCCUUAAAGGCUGCUUGCAGGACCUUAUUUCUGUUUCUUCCUAAAUCAGUGGUCCCUACAUGGGCCUUGAGCUCUGGUUUCUCACCCUCCCUGCUUCAGAUGUUCUGCAGCUAUUUCAUAAUAUCCUUGACCCUGAUACCUGUGAGGCAACACACUAACCCAGAAUCACAUUUAUGCCACAAAUGUGCCUGUCUAUUCCCCUCACUAAACAAUCCCCUACCAAUAUUGCUUCUCUGCUCUUAUUUAUUAUCAAUUUUCACUCUGCUUGAUUAAUUAAUCCUGAGUGUGGAAAAGAAAAUAAAUCUAGAAGAUUCUGGAAUCUACAGCUGUAAGCAUAGAGAGGACAUUUUAAAGCACCAUGAAUAAAUUUCUCUAACACGCAUGGAAACUGAUAUGUCAUCUCAGAAAUAACUCGAGCUGAUCUAUCAGGAGUCUCAAAGUUAAUGGAAGUUAACUUAAUUCAGGGAAUACGAAAGACUGCGUUAGUCCAUUAAAAGAUACACAGUUACUUACAGGGAAUGACAGAUAUUGAAGAGUGUAAGGAGCAUUAAAACAUAUUUUGUUGCAGGUCCAGAUGGUAUCCACCAGAGAAUCCUUAAGGAGAUGAAACAGAUUCAAGAUACAAAUAAAAGUUAGCCUCCUUCUUUGCAUAUGAGUUAGCACAUUAUUAAAUAAUCAAAUAAUACUCAAACACAGAACAGUUGAGCAAUAAAAUUUCCAAAUAGUUUGACACUGAUAUUUGUUUUUUGUGUCUUAUAUAUUUUCAGAUGAAGAAAAACACUUCUGAUUCCUCUUAUCACCUUUUGUCUGUGACCUGUCAUCCAUUUUACAUUUCCAAUUGAUUUGGGAGAUGCAUGUGGUCCAUGUGUCUAUAGUUACUUUUAAAAAAUUGACAUUUAUACUAUACAUCAGUUAAGAUCACCUAGUAGAUUUAUCAAACUUACAUGUUUCAAAUCUGCCAUUCUAUUAAAGUAGCCCUGUUGAAGUUUGAAAUUAAUAAUAGGUAUUCAAAACCUUUAUUUCUACCAACAGUUGAAAACUUAUGAUAUUGUGCCUGCUGUUGCUAAGGUUUUACCACAGACGGCCCAGUACCAAUUAUGCUUUUUAUAAUGUAGAAUCCUGCUGCCUUUUGUAUUCUAGUAUGGUAGAAGAACUUGGGAGCAUAGCAAAGAACCAUCUUCAUAGCUCAUAAUCUCUCCUUUAAUCUCUCCACUGAUGAUGCACUAUUUGAUUCACUUUAUAAACUGUUCCACCAAUAGUACACUGACAGUAAUUCAGUACAAUGUGUUCAAAUUAUGUUCACAUAACGUUACAAAACUAGGGAACACACAAAGCCUUGUUGACUUGGUGAUCUUCAUGUAGAAAUAUAAAUUUAUUCUGCAAUCUGUCGUGGCAACUGAGACCAGAUGACAGCUGGUGUGGAAAAGAAAAAUGCAGCUUUUUCCUUUUGUUAGGGACAAUAGAGGAGAUUUUGCUCUGCUCAUCAGACAAAAGUUUGUUGUUGUCAUGAUAGUGAAACUAUUGGUGUUCUCCAUUAUUGGUCCUCUUUUCUUUCUACUUUAGUUUCCAACAUUAUAACAGUGACUAUGUUGAAAAAUUAGCUGUAAAGUGUUUUGAGUUAUCCAGUGGUCUUGAAAAUUACUGUAUAAAUGCAAGUCUCUCUUUUCUCUGAAGCUGACAACAACUUAUGGAUGCUGCGUAUACUCAGUUCAAUACAGAAAUUCAAGUUGCUGUCAAUGACUUGAUACUCAUCCAGAGGGUACACUUUUGGAGUUUUAAUAGGCUUCAUUCAGUUAGAAAUCAUUGACCUGAUGGAAACAUCUUGUUUUAUAUGUCAAUAUUGCUGUCCAACCUGCACCCACUGCCCGAAAAUGUUUUUGUUAAUGAGGCAUAAUUGGGUUUUAGCAAACCCUAAUUAAUAACAAUUUAUGACUAACCUUUUGAAGACUCAUUUCAUAUUUGUG